UUGGCCCAUACAUGAAUAUAUAUUGUUUUGGUGUGGGGAUCUCAACCGUUUCCAAGUUCUCAAACAGGAGGGUUGGGGUGACCACAGGGACUUCCCCUAUAUUUUAUUUGAUUUGUUAUAUUGUCCCAUACAUGAGUAUAUAUGGUGUAGGGAUAAGGAUUUUGACCAUUUCCAAGUUCUCAAACAGGAGGGUGUACAGUGACCUCAGGGACUCCCCUAUCUUUCAUUUGAAUUGUUAUUGUCCCGUACAUGAAUAUAUGGUUAAGGGUGGCGAUCUCAACGGGUUUCAAAUUCUCAAACAGGAGGGGUGGGG
rnacentral:lncRNA from 1 species